GUCUCGGUGAGCUAUUGGUAAUAUCUAAGUGUGUAUUAUCGAAGUCUCAGUGAGCUAUUGGUAAUAUCUAAGUGUGUAUUAUCUAAGUCUCAGUGAGCUAUUGGUAAUAUCUAAGUGUGUAUUAUCGAAGUCUCAGUGAGCUAUUGGUAAUAUCUAAGUGUGUAUUAUCGAAGUCUCAGUGAGCUAUUGGUAAUAUCUAAGUGUGUAUUUUCUAAGUCUCGGUGAGCUAUUGGUAAUAUCUAAGUGUGUAUUAUCCAAGUCUCGGUGAACUAUUGGUAAUAUUUAAGUGUGUAUUAUCUAAGUCUCGGUGAAGUCUCAGUGAUCUAUUGGUAAUAUCUAAGUGUUUAUUAUCUAAGUCUCAGUGAUCUAUUGGUAAUAUCUAAGUGUGUAUUAUCUAAGUCUCAGUGAGCUAUUGGUAAUAUCUAAGUGUGUAUUAUCUAAGUGUCAGUGAGCUAUUGGUAAUAUCUAAGUGUGUAUUAUCUAAGUCUCAGUGAGCUAUUGGUAAUAUCUAAGUGUGUAUUAUCUAAGUCUCAGUGAGCUAUUGGUAAUAUCUAAGUCUCGGUGAGCUAUUGGUAAUAUCUAAGUGUGUAUUAUCUAAGUCUGGGUGAGCUAUUGGUAAUAUCUAAGUGUGUAUUAUCUAAGUCUCGGUGAAGUCUCAGUGAGCUAUUGGUAAUAUCUAAGUGUGUAUUAUCGAAGUCUCAGUGAGCUAUUGGUAAUAUCUAAGUGUGUAUUAUCUAAGUCUCAGUGAGCUAUUGGUAAUAUCUAAGUGUGUAUUAUCUAAGUCUCAGUGAGCUAUUGGUAAUAUCUAAGUGUGUAUUAUCUAAGUCUCAGUGAGCUAUUGGUAAUAUCUAAGUGUGUAGGAUCUAAGUCUCAGUGAGCUAUUGGUGAUAUCUAAGUGUGUAGGAUCUAAGUCUCAGUGAGCUAUUGGUGAUAUCUAAGUGUGUAUUAUCUAAGUCUCAGUGAGCUAUUGGUAAUAUCUAAGUGUGUAGGAUCUAAGUCUCAGUGAGCUAUUGGUAAUAUCUAAGUCUCGGUGAGCUAUUGGUAAUAUCUAAGUGUGUAUUAUCUAAGUCUGGGUGAGCUAUUGGUAAUAUCUAAGUGUGUAUUAUCGAAGUCUCAGUGAGCUAUUGGUAAUAUCUAAGUGUUUAUUAUCUAAGUCUCGGUGAGCUAUUGGUAAUAUUUAAGUGUGUAUUAUCUAAGUCUCAGUGAGCUAUUGGUAAUAUCUAAGUGUGUAUUAUCUAAGUCUCGGUGAGCUAUUGGUAAUAUCUAAGUGUGUAUUAUCUAAGUCACGGUGAACUAUUGGUAAUAUCUAAGUGUGUAGGAUCUAAGUCUCAGUGAGCUAUUGGUAAUAUCUAAGUCUCGGUGAGCUAUUGGUAAUAUCUAAGUGUGUAUUAUCUAAGUCUGGGUGAGCUAUUGGUAAUAUCUAAGUGUGUAUUAUCGAAGUCUCAGUGAGCUAUUGGUAAUAUUUAAGUGUGUAUUAUCUAAGUCUCAGUGAGCUAUUGGUAAUAUCUAAGUGUGUAUUAUCUAAGUCUCAGUGAGCUAUUGAUAAUAUCUAAGUGUGUAUUAUCUAAGUCACGGUGAAGUCUCAGUGAUCUAUUGGUAAUAUCUAAGUGUGUAUUAUCCAAGUCUCGGUGAGCUAUUGGUAAUAUCUAAGUAUGUAUUAUCUAUGUCUCAGAGAGUUUUUGGUAAUAUCUAAGUGUUUAUUAUCCAAGUCUCGGUGAGCUAUUGGUAAUAUCUAAGUAUGUAUUAUCUAAGUCUCAGUGAGCUAUUGGUAAUAUCUAAGUGUUUAUUAUCCAAGUCUCGGUGAGCUAUUGGUAAUAUCUAAGUGUGUAUUAUCUAAGUCUCAGUGAGCUAUUGGUAAUAUCUAAGUCUCAGUGAGCUAUUGGUGAUAUCUAAGUGUGUAUUAUCUAAGUCUCAGUGAGCGAUUGGUAAUAUCUAAGUGUGUAUUAUCCAAGUCUCGGUGAGCUAUUGGUAAUAUCUAAGUGUGUAUUAUCUAAGUCUCAAUGAGCUAUUGGUAAUAUCUAAGUGUGUAUUAUCCAAGUCUCGGUGAGCUAUUGGUAAUAUCUAAGUGUGUAUUAUCCAAGUCUCGGUGAGCUAUUGGUAAUAUCUAAGUGUGUAUUAUCCAAGUCUCGGUGAGCUAUUGGUGAUAUCUAAGUGUGUAUUAUCUAAGUCACGGUGAUCUAUCGGUAAUAUCUAAGUGUGUAUUAUCCAAGUCUCAGUGAGCUAUCGGUAUUAUCUAAGUGUGUAUUUUCUAAGUCUCGGUGAGCUAUUGGUAAUAUCUAAGUGUGUAUUAUCUAAGUCUCGGUGAGCUAUUGGUGAUAUCUAAGUGUGUAUUAUCUAAGUCUCAGUGAGCUAUUGGUAAUAUUUAAGUGUGUAUUAUCUAAGUCUGGGUGAGCUAUUGGUAAUAUCUAAGUGUGUAUUAUCUAAGUCUCGGUGAGCUAUUGGUAAUAUCUAAGUGUGUAUUUUCUAAGUCUCGGUGAGCUAUUGGUAAUAUCUAAGUGUGUAGGAUCGAAGUCUAAGUGAGCUAUUGGUAAUAUUUAAGUGUGUAUUAUCUAAGUCUUGGUGAGCUAUUGGUAAUAUCUAAGUGUGUAUUAUCUAAGUCUCGGUGAGCUAUUGGUAAUAUCUAAGUGUGUAUUAUCUAAGUCACGGUGAAGUCUCAGUGAGCUAUGGGUAAUAUCUAAGUGUAUAAUAUCUAAGUUUCAGUAGCUUAGUUUAUGUAAGCUCUACGAAAUAAAACGAGAUGACAGCGGCGACUGCGUUAAUUGGUUUGUUCACCGAUUAAAGAAUCUACAGCACACACACCAUGUGGUAGUAUGUAGUGAAAUUGAUGGGAAUUUGAUUUCUGAAUUGCGUGACUGUAGUUAGGUUGGGCAAAUUCAUUCUUUAAUUUCUCUUGAAGUGAUAACGAAAACAAUCAAAGUAAUAACUACACGGAAAUCGGUAAACAGUCUGUUACAUUCAAAAUAAGAAUAAUAAAAUGUGUUCCGUUACAUCUUGUCCUCGGCUGAGAAAAAAGCGUAUGCCUUAGCGCUCAGGAAUGGAGUUGCCAUCAUCUUGGACUCAUGUCGUCCCCCAAGGUCCUGGUAUUUACGUCAAGACAGAGACCUAUAUACUAAUAGUAUAUAUGUAUCUGGUCUAGAUAAGCAACGUCAUAUUCAUUACAUAAUUUAGUAUAAGAUAUGCUCGUCUUUCCCCAUAUUUUGUUACGUGUUAGUUCGUAGGAUUUGAGCGAGUACGUCAGUAACUUUGAUGGCAUUUCCUUAUGAGUCCAUAGUCUGUAUUGUAUGUAAUUAUCUGUCAUGUAUGUACUGUAUGUAUUUGAACUGUUAAAUGCAAGGUUUAACGUAAUAAAAGUCCAACUCUCUUUUGUGGUUGUGGCCUAACGAGGA